rnacentral:misc_RNA from 1 species
CGUGUGAGUGGUGAUAAGAAUGUGUGUGUUGGCAGGCUCCGUGCUGGUGCAUCGAACUGCUUCCCUCAUUUUCGAUCAGUGGUUGCUCCAUGAGCUAAGUUGGAUGCAAAAAAUGGGUUCCUGUGUUGCAUACCUAUUGUGAUGGAAAUUUGUCCAUUUCGUUGUCCCUUUCGUCAUAACAUCCUUUUGGAUGCUUUGUCGGACUAGAUAGUAGGGCUUGUGUUCCACGAACCAUCUCAUGGGAUCGUUCGGAUGGACCAUGAGCGCCUACUCGUUCUCUCGGAUGCGGAACUUUCUUCAUGGGUAUGGGGUCAUUGCCCCCUAUUUCCCAAAUCUUUAAGCGUUCGUCGCUUUACUGGAAUGACGCUCUUGCCUUGUCUUGGACCAUGUGGAGCUUUCGGGCUUCAUGAUGGAUCAUGCUUGGCGGACGUCGUGAAGGAAUGC